AAGGAUCAUUAUUGAAUAAACCUGAUGUGACUGUUAGCUGGCUUUUCGAAGCAUGUGCUCGUCCAUCAUCUUUAUCUCUCCACCUGUGCACAUUUUGUAGUCUUGGAUACCUCUCGAGGAAACUCGGAUUUUAGGAUCGCCGUGCUGUACAAGUCGGCUUUUCUUUCAUUUCCAAGACUAUGUUUUUAUAUACACCAAAGUAUGUUUAUAGAAUGUCAUCAAUGGGAACUUGUUUCCUAUAAAAUUAUACAACUUUCAGCAACGGAUCUCUUGGCUCUCGCAUCGAUGAAGAACGCAGCGAAAUGCGAUAAGUAAUGUGAAUUGCAGAAUUCAGUGAAUCAUCGAAUCUUUGAACGCACCUUGCGCUCCUUGGUAUUCCGAGGAGCAUGCCUGUUUGAGUGUCAUUAAAUUCUCAACCUUCCAACUUUUAUUAGCUUGGUUAGGCUUGGAUGUGGGGGUUGCGGGCUUCAUCACUGAGGUCGGCUCUCCUUAAAUGCAUUAGCGGAACUUUUGUGGACCGUCUAUUGGUGUGAUAAUUAUCUACGCCGUGGAUGUGAAGCAGCUUUAUGAAGUUCUGCUUCUAACCGUCCAUUGACUUGGACAAUUUUGACAAUUUGACCUCAAAUCAGGUAGGACUACCCGCUGAACUUAA
rnacentral:rRNA from 2 species